UACAGAGCCCUCAAGCGUUAUCCGGAUUCAUUGGGCGUAAAGCGUCCGCAGGUUGCUAAGUUAGUUGGUGGUCAAAUCUUUGGGCUUAACUCAGAGACUGCUAUCAAUACUGCUUAGCUAGAGGCUGGGAGAGGUACACGGAACUGUUGGUGUAGUAGUAAAAUGCGUUGAUAUCAACAGGAACACCAAAGGCGAAGGCAGUGUACUGGAACAGUCCUGACACUCAGGGACGAAAGCGUGGGGAGCGAAUGGG
rnacentral:rRNA from 1 species